rnacentral:rRNA from 1 species
CAGCCGCCGCGGGAAUACGUAGGGUGCGAGCGUUAAUCGGAAUUACUGGGCGUAAAGCGUGCGCAGGCGGUUUUGUAAGACAGAGGUGAAAUCCCCGGGCUCAACCUGGGAACUGCCUUUGUGACUGCAAGGCUAGAGUACGGCAGAGGGGGAUGGAAUUCCGCGUGUAGCAGUGAAAUGCGUAGAUAUGCGGAGGAACACCGAUGGCGAAGGCAAUCCCCUGGGCCUGUACUGACGCUCAUGCACGAAAGCGUGGGGAGCAAACAGGAUUAGAUACACCAGUAGUCCCUGUCUCUUAUAC